AGCAGCACAGACUUGCUGUGAUGUUCACGUGGAGAGGAGUUAAACAUCACUGCAAGUCUUAACAGCC
ensembl:miRNA